UUCCCUGUGUCUCAGCUGGUAAAGAAUCUGCCUGCAAUGCAGGAGACCUGGGUUCAAUCCCUGGGUGGGGAA
rnacentral:tRNA from 1 species